UACGUAGGGUGCAAGCGUUAAUCGGAAUUACUGGGCGUAAAGCGUGCGCAGGCGGUUAUGUAAGACAGAUGUGAAAUGCCCGGGCUUAACCUGGGAACUGCAUUUGUGACUGCAAGGCUGGAGUGUGGCAGAGGAGACUGGAAUUCCCGGUGUAGCAGUGAAAUGCGUAGAUAUCGGGAGGAAUACCGAUGGCGAAGGCAGGUCUCUGGGCUGACACUGACGCUCAUGCACGAAAGCGUGGGGAGCAAACAGG
rnacentral:rRNA from 1 species